GUCUAUUAUGAUGAUAAUAAUAGUCUAGCCUGCUCAGUGACAAAAUAACGUUAAAUAGCCGCGGUAUCCUGACCGUGCAAAGGUAGCAUAAUCAUUAGCUUCUUAAUUGGAAACUAGAAUGAACGGUUGAACAAGGGAAACACUGUCUUUUUUAUUAAAAUUGAAUUUAACUUCUAAGUGAAAAGGCUUAGAUACUCUAAGGGGACGAUAAGACCCUAUAAAGCUUUAUAAGUUUAAAAAUUUUUGAGUAUUUAAAACAUAAAUUUAUUUUUCGAUAUCUUAUUUGGUUGGGGCGACAAUGGUAUAAUUCAAAAUAACUGCCGUUUAUAUAAUAACAAUUAUCAUUGAGUUAACGAAAUUAUAACUGAUCCCCUUUAGGGAGUAAAAGAUCAAGUUACUUUAGGGAUAACAGCGUAAUUUUCUCUGAGAGUCCUUAUCAAAGAGAGAGUUUGCGACCUCGAUGUUGAAUUAAGAUGUCUCCAUAGUGCAGCAGCUAUGAUAGAAGGUCUGUUCGACCUUUAAUAUCUUACAUGAUUUGAGUUCAGACCGGCGUGAGCCAGG
rnacentral:rRNA from 1 species